GUGAAUCAUCGAAUCUUUGAACGCAAAUUGCGCUCUCGGGUAUUCUGGAGAGUAUGCCUGUUUGAGGGUCAGUUUAAAUAAAAAUCGGAGCGGUUGCUGCCUUCCGUGGUGAAGCACCGGAUUUGGGUCGUCUUGCCUUUGGCGACGUGACCUCAAAUUUUGGAUGAUUUUUAUCGCACGUAUUUAAAUGAUUUUACGUACGUUUGCGAUAUCGAAUACUUGGUUUGGUCAUCCGCAUGAUGUACGCCUAUAAUUUUUAAUC
rnacentral:misc_RNA from 1 species